rnacentral:rRNA from 1 species
UCGGAUUGACCCGAUCAGUGCCGCAGCUAACGCAUUAAGUUCACCGCCUGGGGACUACGGCCGCAAGNUUAAAACUCAAAGGAAUAGGCGGGGGCCCGCACAAGCAGCGGAGCGUGUGGUUUAAUUCGAGGCAACGCGAAGAACCUUACCUGGGCUUGACAUGUAGAGGAAACGCUGGUGAAAGCCAGCGCCUCCCGCAAGGGAUCUCUGCACAGGUGGUGCAUGGCUGUCGUCAGCUCGUGNCCGUGAGGUGUUGGGUUAAGUCCCGCAACGAGCGCAACCCCUGUCCUUAGUUGAAUCUUCUAGGGAGACUGCCGGGCGAAACCCGGAGGAAGGUGGGGAUGACGUCAAGUCCGCAUGCCCUUUAUGUNCCAGGGCUACACACACGCUACAAUGGCCGGUACAACGGGUUCCGACACGGCGACGUGAAGGCAAUCCCUUAAAGCCGGUCUCAGUUCGGAUUGUUGGCUGCAACUCGCCAGCAUGAAGUCGGAGUUGCUAGUAACCGCAGGUCAGCACACUGCGGUGAAUACGUUCCCGGGCCUUGCACUCACCGCCCGUCACAUCACCCGAGUCUGGUGCUCCCGAAGUCGCUGGCCGAACCCGUGAGGGACGGAGGCGCCGAAGGAGUGCCCGGUGAGGGGGGUGAAGUCGUAACCAAGGUACC